rnacentral:lncRNA from 1 species
GAAGCCCGAGGGCUGUCCGCCGCGUGCGUGCGCCAGGAAUGCGACCAGACAGGCCGCCGUUUUCCACUUGCUCCUCUGAAGGCAGAGGGAGAGGAAGCAGGGUCUUGAGUCCCUGGAAAGGAGCUUCACGACAGCGAGCGAGGUCAAAUGUGGGAGCGGGCGAAACGCCUGUCUGGGGUCUGGCUAAAGCGCGGGUUUUCUCGCUGCUGCAGAACCGCGGGUCUCACGCACGCGCACACCGCGCGCGGGCACCGCCACCGGCUGCGUAACCCUCGGGCUCCCUGCUGGGACGAAAGCCUGUGAGGCAAGCUAAACAUGCAUGGGAGGACGCAGGACGUGGCGCUGUGUGGGCGAGACCCAGGAGAAGGAACACGCGCGAGGGCCCUGGUCUCCCGGAGUCCGUGCCCAGAGCCCGGCGCAGACCCGCCCCGCGUCUGCCCCUUGCCUGCGUCUCCAGAGGCUGCAGCCGGUAAAAGUAACCCGGGUCCCUAGGAAAGCUCCUCAGAAACGCCUUGUGGAGCCUCACCUGACCAGCCCGGGAAGGGGCCACUCACGGAGCUUGUCCACGCUCACUCCCUCCGCCGCCGCUCUCUCCAGCUGGAAGAAGUCGUAGUCAAACCUGCUCAAGUCCUCGCUGCCUCGCUCCGAAGGAAACCCCACGUAGAGGAAGCAUGUUUAUCUGAAAUUCUAAGAAGACAAGAGUUUGUCUAAAUCACCCAAUACAUUACGAUUGUGCACAAGACGACAGAUAGCUGCUGAAGAAUGGCACAAGGCGUCUGCCAGGGCCCCAUGUGCUGUGGCUCUCGAGCAAACACCAGUUGGGUGGCUACAGCUGCAGAUGCAGAGAUCGUAGCUGGAGUCCUGAAAAGGCCAGUGGGAUGGGACGAUGACAACAAAGAUGCUUCAGAAGAGAUACAUGGAAGGUGGCUUCAUAACAAGCCUUGCAUACUACAGGUGAGUUUAGAUCUCUUUCUGGGUCUUUAUCUACACACAUCCAGGCUUUAUAUGUUGCAAGAUUUGGAGCUGGCUGUCAGAGGUGUCAGGUUGUCUGCCACCCAGCAUUAG